CGCAUUAUGACGUCACAUCCAACAUGUGGAGAUGACCGGCUCUGGGCAUGCCCUGUGCUCACCUGGCAGGUGAUGGCGUGGGCAGGAAGUGCACAGCCUGCCUUUACCUUACGUGAACACUGUGUCUGGGCAAUGGGCUAAGAACUGAAGAGGACAAGCUAGAAAAGGGCUCCUUGCUGCCUCUAUAAACCACGUGUGUGUACAUCUUAGCGAGCCCACAGACAAAAAAGGCAAAGAAGCAGAGACCAAGAGGGAGCGCCUAAGAGGCACAGAAAAAGAGAGCCACAGAGACAGAGAGAUGGAGAGACAGACAGACGGAGGAGAGCCAAGGCACAGGGGAAGGGGCAGGCAGAGGCAAGCACUUCCUGGUGAACUGGGUCCCCUGUGUGAUUGGCUGCUCCUAGAGAACAGUUUCCGUGGCUGCAGUUGCUGUGCAACUGUUUCCUGCAAUUAACUGACUUUAUUGACUUCGUCUGUUUCUCCCCCUCCCUUAACCUCUUGUUUGCCAAGCCAUCUAAGGAGCCAUAUCUUCGACUGGAAGGGGUAGUUUCAAUUAGCACACUGUACAUCUUGUCAACCCACCUCCACUUGAAGCUGUGAUAAUAGAUGACUGGAUCGAACCAGCUCACCUGCUCCACAUUGCUCAUUUCUCUCAGCAAAUCCAAGGACUCAGAAGGAACCCUUCACCAACUGCCCAUUCCCACAUGCCGACCCGCAGAGCUAACUCCAAGCUUGCACCACCCACCUUCUGUCACCACCGUCCCUUUUCUUGUC
ensembl:lincRNA